GGUUGAUCCCGCCGGACCUGACUGCUAUCGGAUUGGUACUAAGCCAUGCGAGUCAUUGUAGCAAUACAAGGCGGACGGCUCAGUAACACGUAGUCAACCUAACCUAUGGACGUGGAUAACCUCGGGAAACUGAGAAUAAACCACGAUAGAUCAUGAUGCCUGGAAUGGCUUAUGGUUCAAACAAUUUAUUGCCGUAGGAUGGGACUGCGGCCUAUCAGCUUGUUGGUGAGGUAAUGGCCCACCAAGGCUAUAACAGGUACGGGCUCUGAGAGGAGAAGCCCGGAGACGGGUACUGAGACACGGACCCAGGCCCUAUGGGGCGCAGCAGGCGAGAAACCUUAGCAAUGUGCGAAAGCACGACUAGAUUAAUCCGAGUGGUUCCUGCUAAAGGAACCUUUUGUCAGUCGUAAAACCACAGACGAAUAAGGGGUGGGCAAGUCUGGUGUCAGCCGCCGUGGUAAUACCAGCACCUCGAGUGGUCAGGAGGUUUAUUGGGCCUAAAGCAUCCGUAGCCGGCUAUGCAAGUCUUCGGUUAAAUCCAACUGCUCAACAGAUGGGCUGCCGGAGAUACUACAUAGCUAGGGAGCGGGAGAGGCAGACGGUAUUCGGUGGGUAGGGGUAAAAUCCACUGAUCCAUCGAGGACCACCAGUGGCGAAGGCGGUCUGCCAGAACGCGUCCGACGGUGAGGGAUGAAAGCUGGGGGAGCAAACCGGAUUAGAUACCCGGGUAGUCCCAGCUGUAAACGAUGCAAACUCGGUGAUGCGUUGGCUUAUGGCCAACGCAGUGCCGCAGGAAGCCGUUAAGUUUGCCGCCUGGGAAGUACGGACGCAAGUCUGAAACUUAAAGGAAUUGGCGGGGGAGCACCACAAGGGUGAAGCCUGCGGUUCAAUUGGA
rnacentral:rRNA from 1 species